UGGGAGCACCUGGCGCCCUCCUCAGGGCUGGAGGAGCCGCCCCCGCCCCCACCAGAGGGCCAGGAAGAAGAGGAAGACGAUCAGCAGCGACAGCAUCAGGGCCAGAGCUGAGCUUGAGCGGCCAUCCGCACAAGCUGUGGACUGGUGUGACAGCGUGAGAUGCCUUUUGAGUGUACAGCAAAUAAAAGUUUUCCGUCCUGGGAAAAAAAAAAA